AUUGAACGCUGGCGGCAUGCUUUACACAUGCAAGUCGAACGGUAACAGGGAGCUUGCUCCGCUGACGAGUGGCGAACGGGUGAGUAAUGCGUCGUAACGUGCCGAGUAGUGGGGGAUAACGCAGCGAAAGUUGUGCUAAUACCGCAUACGUACUGAGGUAGAAAGUGGGGGACCUUCGGGCCUCACGCUAUUCGAGCGGCCGACGUCUGAUUAGCUAGUAGGGGAGGUAAAGGCUCACCUAGGCGAAGAUCAGUAGCGGGUCUGAGAGAAUGAUCGGCCAGACUGGGACUGAGAAACGGCCAAGACUCCUACGGGAGGCGGCAGUGGGGAAUUUUGGACAAUGGGCGUAAGCCUGAUCCAGCCAUGCCGCGUGUCUGAAGAAGGCCUUCGGGUUGUAAAGGACUUUUGUCGGGGAGGAAAUCCCCAGCGCUAAUACCGCUGGGGGAUGACAGUACCUGAAGAAUAAGCACCGGCUAACUACGUGCCAGCAGCCGCAGUAAUAC
rnacentral:rRNA from 1 species